rnacentral:lncRNA from 1 species
GAAAAGGGGACUAAAUCCCUACCAGACCAGUAAUUACUCACACCAGCCAAAGCACACUAUGCUGAAUAAUAUACUUACAACAAAACCAAAUCCAUCUCCUAAUAGCAUAAGAUAAAAGAAAUCACUAAACAAACAUGUUUAUUAACUACAAUAUGUGAAGCUUCAAUUGCAGGAAAGAAAAGUCGACUUAAACAACAAAACAUCAAACUUGGCUUGAUUCGAAUCCAUACUGCAAAUUACAUAUCAAUUGAUGUCAAUGGAGUUUUGGAGCAUACCUAGUACAACAAAUGAAUAAAAAAAAUUGAGGUUAAGAGGAAUUUAACAGCAGUGGCCUAGCAAUAGAAGUUCGCAACAAUCAAAAUCCAAGGAAAUCGACUCAAGACCCAAAGAAGAAAGCAAACAAUUCAAGCAAAAUCAACUCUCAAUCUAGCAGUCACAAUUCGAACCCAAACAAACCAGAAUACUUAAGGACCUUCUGAUUCAAAACCAUUUUCAACUUCAAUUACACAAGACUAACUCAAGAUCCACAUCCAAAAACUCCCAAAGGCUUUUCAGUAUAAUAGUGAUUUUUUUUAUGUAUUUUUUAGCCGUCUGUUUUUUUUGGUUUUUUUAGCACUCCCCCUUUCUCCAGCCAACGAGAAUGUCUUUAUUGGCAAGUAAGUAAGGCAUAUUUUUUUCAAGUUUUAGAUUACAGCUUAGUCCCCUAUUUUGUGACUUGCUAUCCAAGUUUUUACCUCUCAUUUUCUGAAAUUCAACAGAAAACCCCUCACCAGAAGCUUCCUAUUCAGUUAUUAAAGAUUCAAUAAACUCAAAUACCUAAAUUACCCUCCCAGUACCCCUAUUUUUACUUUAGUCUCAACUAUUUAACCUUCAGCUCAUGGGUCAAUUUAAAAUAGGUCCUCAUCUAGACUAUGGGCCUGACUACUAUAACCUACUAUAACCCAGUGUUAUCAGCUUAAGGCCUUUAGUCAUCGAGCACUGAGGCUCAGAUGAAUCAAAGAUAUGUGGGCCAAAGAAACGAAAGAGCAGGGAGCGAAGGAGGUAAGACCUGAGUCCAAAAAACUCAAGUGAUUACAAUAAAACACAAAACAAAAUUAAUCAUCUUAUCAGUAGUUAUGAACCCAGCAAAUGAUUUGUAGCAAAACAACAAACAGGUUACCUAGCAAUUUUUAAACUAACUAUGAAGACAAAACGAAUUAAUUCUAUCCCUUCUAACGAAAUCAACCCGAAUUAGCUCAUAGUUAUUGCUAUACAAAAUUAAACUAACAAGCAACAGAAACAAAAGGAGAAGAAAAGACUAAGCCGGGUCCUGAGGUUCUAAAAAUGCACAACUAACCAAAACUAACAAAACAAAAGAGGAAAGAAGAACCAAUACCUAACAAAUGAUUGGCUAUGCUGAAUCACUUAUGACAAAACCAUGCAACCAGCAAAUUCCAUGAAAAUCGAUUUUUGGUUUUAGGGCUUCCACCUCAAAUGUAAUAUUCGAAGGAUUUUGGGCAUAUUCGAGGGAAAAAGGCUACGGAUUUGCAAAGAGGGAAUUGAGGAGGUACUAAGGUGUUCAUUUGGUGGCGAUUAGGGAAGGUGCCGCCGUGGGCGGCGGAGGCGGCGUCCACAGAUUUGAUGAUUCGGCGAGUUUGAAAGAUUUUUUAGGGAAACAAAGCUUGGUUUUGGAGACGGGAGGUGGAGAAGGGGCUAUGGUGUAAGUUUGGAGGGGUUUGGAUGAUCACCACCGUUGUGAGGAGAUUUCUGGCAGCGGUUUCAGGCAGAGUCGGCGAGGAGAGUCUCUGAGGUGAGUGGGGGUACG